rnacentral:rRNA from 1 species
GCACGCUUGGUGUGAGGGGAAUCGACCCCCCNNGUGCCGGAGNUAACGCGUUAAGCGUGCCGCCUGGGAAGUACGGUCGCAAGACUAAAACUCAAAGAAAUUGACGGGGACCCGCACAAGCGGUGGAGUAUGUGGCUUAAUUCGAUGCAACGCGAAGAACCUUACCAAGGCUUGACAUGGAUUUCUAAGCACGUGAAAGCGUGUGACCCUUCGGGGAACUUCCACAGGUGCUGCAUGGCCGUCGUCAGCUCGUGUCGUGAGAUGUUGGGUUAAGUCCCGCAACGAGCGCAACCCUUGUGACUAGUUGCCAGCACGUAAUGGUGGGAACUCUAGUCAGACUGCCCAGAUCAANCUGGGAGGAAGGUGGGGACGACGUCAGGUCAGUAUGGCCCUUACGCCUUGGGCUGCACACGUACUACAAUGCCCAGCACAAUGAGAACCGAUGCCGCGAGGUGGAGGAAAUCUGUAAAACUGGGCUCAGUUCGGAUUGGAGGCUGCAACUCGCCUCCAUGAAGUUGGAAUCGCUAGUAAUGGGGCAUCAUCUACGGCCCCGUGAAUACGUUCCCGGGUCUUGUACACACCGCCCGUCACAUCAUGGAAGCCGGUCGCACCCGAAGUGCCCGUACCAACCGCCAAGGGGGUAGGGUCCUAAGGUGUAGCNGGUAACUGGGAUGAAGUCGUAACCAAGGUACC